rnacentral:rRNA from 1 species
CGUAAAGCUCUUUCGCCUGUGAAGAUAAUGACUGUAGCAGGUAAAGAAACCCCGGCUAACUCCGUGCCAGCAGCCGCGGUAAUACGGAGGGGGUUAGCGUUGUUCGGAAUUACUGGGCGUAAAGCGCGCGUAGGCGGACAUUUAAGUCAGAGGUGAAAUCCCAGGGCUCAACCCUGGAACUGCCUUUGAUACUGGGUGUCUUGAGUUCCAGAGAGGUGAGUGGAAUUCCGAGUGUCAAGGUGAACUUCCUAAUAUUCGCACGAACCC